rnacentral:rRNA from 1 species
GAAUUCGCCCUUAGAGUUUGAUCCUGGCUCAGGAUGAACGCUGGCGGCGUGCUUAACACAUGCAAGUCGAACGAAGCAUAUAAAAUGGAGUUUUCGGACAAAGUUUUAUAUGACUUAGUGGCGGACGGGUGAGUAACGCGUGAGUAACCUGCCUUACACAGGGGGAUAACAGUCAGAAAUGACUGCUAAUACCGCAUAAGCGCACAGGGCCGCAUGGUCUGGUGUGAAAAGUAAUUCGGUGUAAGAUGGACUCGCGUCUGAUUAGCUAGUUGGUGAGGUAACUGCUCACCAAGGCGACGAUCAGUAGCCGACUUGAGAGAGUGAUCGGCCACAUUGGGACUGAGACACGGCCCAAACUCCUACGGGAGGCAGCAGUGGGGAAUAUUGCACAAUGGGGGAAACCCUGAUGCAGCGACGCCGCGUGAGCGAUGAAGUAUUUCGGUAUGUAAAGCUCUAUCAGCAAGGAAGAUAAUGACGGUACUUGACUAAUAAGCCCCGGCUAACUACGUGCCAGCAGCCGCGGUAAUACGUAGGGGGCAAGCGUUAUUCGGGAUUUCUGGGUGUAAAGGGGACGUAAACGGGCAGGCCAGUCUGAAGUGAAAACCCGGGGCUCAACCCCGGAAUGCAUUGGAAACUGCUCAACUAAAGUGGCAGAAAGGGAAUGGGAAUUCCUAGGGUAGCGGGAAAAUGCGUAAAUUUUUAGAGGAAACCCAGGGGGCAAAGGGGGCUUUAUUGAAUUGUAAAUGA